rnacentral:rRNA from 1 species
UACGGGGGGAGCAAGCGUUGUUCGGAUUUACUGGGCGUAAAGGGCGCGUAGGCGGCGUGACAAGUCACUUGUGAAAUCUCCGGGCUUAACCCGGAGCGGCCAAGUGAUACUGUCGUGCUAGAGUGCGGAAGGGGCUACUGGAAUUCUCGGUGUAGCGGUGAAAUGCGUAGAUAUCGAGAGGAACACCUGCGGCGAAAGGCGGGGUAGCUGGGCCGACACUGACGCUGAGGCGCGAAAGCCAGGGGGAGCGAACGGGG